CCAUCACACAGGGUCCCCACCACACAGGUCCCCACCACGCAGGGUCCCCACCACGCAGGGUCCCCACCACGCAGGGUCCCCACCAUGCACAGUCCCCACCAUGCAGGCCCACAGUGGGAGGAGGACACGCUGAGGAGGGAAGGCCCCCAAGGCUGUAAAGGUGAAGCUGAGUUCAGACCACACAGGUCCCAGCGGAUGCCCCAUCUCGAAGGUUGUAAAGGCCGGUGCCCAUCAGUGGUGCUCACUAGGUCUGCAGGCACUGGGUAGCAUGAGCCACUUGAAGCUGGGAAGCUUUGGGACCCAUCUGUUACGCAGCAGAGGCUAACUGAUACAAGGGACGUGGGACUUGGGUGGGUGUGCUUCCUUUUUUACUCAGUAGAUAAGAAGACUGUUCAGACUAUAUGUAAGAUACAAGUAUUAACCUUCAGUAAACCCUGGCUUAUCUACCACCCAGGCUAAAAAAAAAAAAAAAAAACAAUUUCUGAAGCCCCCUGAGUGACCUUCUUCAAACCCACCCCUGGGUGAAACAUCACCCUGAGUUCUGUGUUUCCUGCUCUUUGGAAUUUCAAGUCCUUUCCCCACACCUGCAAGGAAGCCCGAGGGAGGCUCUGGACCCACGCUCCCGGCCACUCACCCGCCCUCACAGCUGAGUGUCCCCACUGUCUGAGCCUGUCACACCUGGCUUGUCCACUCCACCAUGCCAGGCAGUUUGCAGAAUUACAGAUGUCACCGCGAGGACAAGUCAAACACCCGCCCCAGCUCAGGGUUCCUCCGGGUGCCCAGGGGGCCGAGGCGUGGUGCCCCCGCCGCUCACUUCACGUGCACGCUCGUCCACGCGGGCCACGACGGGGAGUCUGGAUGUCACUUGCGUGGGUCCGCAUCUCAAGCCUGCUCCUUUUCACAGAGUCUCUCUCGAAGAUCCCCCCUCAGUUUACACCCCAGUCCAGCCUCCUGCCGCCGCACCAGUGCGCCAUGGCAUCAGACUGUGGACAGGUGUGGGAAGCGUUCUUAAUUACAGUUUUAAUUUGCUCUCACUGAACACCGGGAGCUUCUCCGCUCGGAGCUCCUGUUUCUCUUCCAGGCUCAAAUCCUUCGCUCAUUUUUAUCUUGUUAUCUGUCUGUUCCUGACUGAUUUGGAAGUUAGUUACACAUUCUGGACACUAAUCCUUUGUCAGCUGAAUGCAUUGAAAACAUCUCCUCCCAGUUGGUGGCUCCUGUGUCCACUUAUUUAUGCCGCUGUUGAUGAAUUUUAAUGGAGCAGAAUUUGUCAGUCCUUCCCUUUUGUUUCACUUCUGUGGUUUUAAUAAACAAUUUCUUAGUCGGUGGUCAUGGUAUGUUC
ensembl:lncRNA